rnacentral:ncRNA from 1 species
GCAUUGGCUUUGAUGGGAAAGAGUAGGUUUUGAAAGCUCUCAGAGAGGGUGGCUGACACGCUGCGAGGCCGCCUGGGCAGAAGAAGCUGAACGUCGUCCCGGAGUCGUUUUCCUGAACGCGCAUUUUGAGUGCGCCGGGUAGGGAAAACCGGUGAAUCCGUUAUCUUCCCGAGCGCGCAGGACUCUUGUCUUGCGAACUAAAGGUGGUACCGCGGAAGCAGCGUCUCUUUCGUCCUUUUU